GGUCAUAGCUCAGUGGCUGAGCAUCUGCUUUGCAUGCAGGAGGUGCCAUGUUCAACCCCUGGGCAGCAUCU